AUAGAAGAAGAAGAAGAAGUUGAACAAUGUGAAGGAGGAGACGCAAGAAGAAGCAACGUGUUUUCGCCUCUAAUACCCUAAGAAGCAUUCUUCUUCAUUCCCAGGAUCUUGCCUAACUUUUACUUGGGAAAAAGAGCUAAGCUAGUUUGAUGAGGUUAGUGCGUUCUAACUUACGAGAAAAUUUAUUGUUAUUGUAACAUCAUAGUUUUGGAUUAUAUAUAUUCAAGAGGCAUAUGGGGCUCAACAUGAAUUACAAGAUCAUAAACCAAUUUAUUGGGAAAGCCAACUAACCCCAUGAUUCAAUGCAGAUUUUUAUAAAGUUAUAAUAUCAUAAUCAAUGAAAUUAAAAUAGUAGAAGCUCCAAUUUUUUGCAUUGGAACAUGAAAAUGAUGCUUAGAAUAGUUAUAGUGACGGUUAUCAUUUUUCUCCAUAAUUCCUAGGCUGAUGCAAUUGUAUCUCCAAAGUGAAGCAAAUUGGAAUUAGGUUCUGUGGUAUGUUCAAAAAUGAACAUAGGAUCAUUUUUAAGUAUUGCAUUGCAUGAUGAACAAGAACUCUUGCCUCUGCCAACCGAUGAAUGCUAUUCUGUUUUGAAGAAUGGUAUUUUGGCAUUUGCAAAAGUGGAGGAAGCCUAUAAGCAAAAGAAGUACUCUAAAGAAGCAAUAGAAGAGGUGAUUGGUCGUGCUCACUAUAUCAACUUCUAGAUACCCUGGAUCAGG